UCCAGACUCCUACGGGAGGCAGCAGUGGGGAAUAUUGCACAAUGGGGGAAACCCUGAUGCAGCAACGCCGCGUGAGUGAAGAAGUAUUUCGGUAUGUAAAGCUCUAUCAGCAGGGAAGAGAAUGACGGUACCUGACUAAGAAGCCCCGGCUAACUACGUGCCAGCAGCCGCGGUAAUACGUAGGGGGCGAGCGUUAUCCGGAUUUACUGGGUGUAAAGGGAGCGUAGACGGCUGGUCAAGUCUGAAGUGAAAGCCCGGGGCUUAACCCCGGAACGGCUUUGGAAACUGAGCAGCUAGAGUGCUGGAGAGGUAAGCGGAAUUCCUAGUGUAGCGGUGAAAUGCGUAGAUAUUAGGAGGAACACCAGUGGCGAAGGCGGCUUACUGGACAGUAACUGACGUUGAGGCUCGAAAGCGUGGGGAGCAAACAGGAUUAGAUACCCGAGUA
rnacentral:rRNA from 1 species